rnacentral:rRNA from 1 species
CAGUCGCCGCGGUAAUACAGAGGGUGCGAGCGUUAAUCGGAUUUACUGGGCGUAAAGCGUGCGUAGGCGGCUUUUUAAGUCGGAUGUGAAAUCCCUGAGCUUAACUUAGGAAUUGCAUUCGAUACUGGGAAGCUAGAGUAUGGGAGAGGAUGGUAGAAUUCCAGGUGUAGCGGUGAAAUGCGUAGAGAUCUGGAGGAAUACCGAUGGCGAAGGCAGCCAUCUGGCCUAAUACUGACGCUGAGGUACGAAAGCAUGGGGAGCAAACAGGAUUAGAGACCCCUGUAGUCCCUGUCUCUUAUAU